rnacentral:rRNA from 1 species
CUGGUAGUCCACGCUGUAAACGAUGUCGAUUUGGAGGUUGUGCCCUUGAGGCGUGGCUUCCGGAGCUAACGCGUUAAAUCGACCGCCUGGGGAGUACGGCCGCAAGGUUAAAACUCAAAUGAAUUGACGGGGGCCCGCACAAGCGGUGGAGCAUGUGGUUUAAUUCGAUGCAACGCGAAGAACCUUACCUACUCUUGACAUCCAGAGAACUUUCCAGAGAUGGAUUGGUGCCUUCGGGAACUCUGAGACAGGUGCUGCAUGGCUGUCGUCAGCUCGUGUUGUGAAAUGUUGGGUUAAGUCCCGCAACGAGCGCAACCCUUAUCCUUUGUUGCCAGCGGUUCGGCCGGGAACUCAAAGGAGACUGCCAGUGAUAAACUGGAGGAAGGUGGGGAUGACGUCAAGUCAUCAUGGCCCUUACGAGUAGGGCUACACACGUGCUGCAAUGGCAUAUACAAAGAGAAGCGACCUCGCGAGAGCAAGCGGACCUCAUAAAGUAUGUCGUAGUCCGGAUUGGAGUCUGCAACUCGACUCCAUGAAGUCGGAAUCGCUAGUAAUCGUAGAUCAGAAUGCUACGGUGAAUACGUUCCCGGGCCUUGUACACACCGCCCGUCACACCAUGGGAGUGGGUUGCAAAAGAAGUAGGUAGCUUAACCUUCGGGAGGGCGCUUACCACUUUGUGAUUCAUGACUGGGGUGAAGUCGUAACAAGGUAACC